AUGAACGCUAGCGACAGGCUUAACACAUGCAAGUCGAGGGGCAGCGGGGGAUAAGCUUGCUUUUCCUGCCGGCGACCGGCGCACGGGUGAGUAACACGUAUGCAACCUGCCUCUGUCAGAGGGAUAAUCCGGAGAAAUCCGGUCUAAUAUCGCAUAAAGCGUUUGCGGGGCAUCCUGCGAGCGCCAAAGGAGUAAUCCGGACAGGGAUGGGCAUGCGGCGCAUUAGCUAGUUGGGGGGGUAACGGCCCACCAAGGCGACGAUGCGUAGGGGUUCUGAGAGGAAGGUCCCCCACAUUGGUACUGAGACACGGACCAAACUCCUACGGGAGGCAGCAGUGAGGAAUAUUGGUCAAUGGGCGGAAGCCUGAACCAGCCAAGUCGCGUGAGGGAAGACGGCCCUAAGGGUUGUAAACCUCUUUUGCCGGGGAGCAAAAGCGCCGUGCGCGGUGCUAUGAGAGUACCCGGAGAAAAAGCAUCGGCUAACUCCGUGCCAGCAGCCGCGGUAAUACGGAGGAUGCGAGCGUUAUCCGGAUUUAUUGGGUUUAAAGGGUGCGUAGGCGGACAGUUAAGUCAGCGGUCAAAACGGGCGGCUCAACCGCCUGCCGCCGUUGAAACUGGCAGUCUAGAGUGGGCGAGAAGUACGCGGAAUGCGCGGUGUAGCGGUGAAAUGCAUAGAUAUUGCGCAGAACUCCGAUUGCGAAGGCAGCGUACCGGCGCCCGACUGACGCUGAGGCACGAAAGCGUGGGGAUCGAACAGGAUUAGAUACCCUGGUAGUCCACGCAGUAAACGAUGAUAACUCGUUGUCGGCGAUACACAGUCGGUGACUAAGCGAAAGCGUUAAGUGUCCCACCUGGGGAGUACGCCGGCAACGGUGAAACUCAAAGGAAUUGACGGGGGCCCGCACAAGCGGAGGAACAUGUGGUUUAAUUCGAUGAUACGCGAGGAACCUUACCCGGGCUCAAACGCACGACGGCGGCACGUGAAAGCGUGCUUACCUCCGGGACGUUGUGCGAGGUGCUGCAUGGUUGUCGUCAGCUCGUGUCGUGAGAUGUUGGGUUAAGUCCCGCAACGAGCGCAACCCUUAUGGUCAGUUACUACGCAAGAGGACUCUGGCCAGACUGCCGUUGACAAAACGGAGGAAGGUGGGGAUGACGUCAAAUCAUCAUGCCCCUUAUGAUCUGGGCUACACACGUGCUACAAUGGGUACAACAAAGAGACGCGAGACCGCAAGGUGGAGCCAAACUCAGAAAAGUACUCUCAGUUCAGAUUGUGGGCUGCAACCCGCCCACAUGAAGUUGGAGUUGCUAGUAAUCGCGGAUCAGCAUGCCGCGGUGAAUACGUUCCCGGGCCUUGUACACACCGCCCGUCACACCAUGAGAGUUGGGGAUACCCGAAGCCUGUGAGCCAACAUAUCUAUGAGGCAGCAGUCGAAGGUAGAAUCAAUGAUUGGGGUG
rnacentral:rRNA from 1 species